rnacentral:lncRNA from 1 species
UGGUAACCAAUGUUUCAAUGGCUGGUAAUUUAAUAAACACUUUCUGGUCACUGAAAAUGAGGACAACUAAUGACAUGCAUGAUACACAUUCAAGAGAAGAACCCAAGGCUGAGAGAAAGUGACUGCAUUAGAAUCCCUUUUAGGCAAAUGACUCUGAUUUCUUUUGCCUUUUGGUUACAACUACAAAAGAUGUCUUCUGAGACAAAUGCUGGUGCAUGACAUCAGGACGAAGGAAUGCUCAGCUCAGUCCAGCAUGUUUAAAAGCAUCAGCUGCUUGAAAAAAAUGUUACAUUUUUCAGGAUGGAUUAAAAAAUGACGAUGAUCCCCGAGAGGGGGAAGUAGGUGCAGACUUUAAAAGAAGUUUUUUUUGUUGUUGUUGCUAUUAUUUCCAAGGAUCAGAGACAUACUCAAAUUAGAAUUAGAUUUUGAACAUUAGCCAUACAGUGUUUUUCCUCACACAGAAGAUAUCCUAUGGUCUUUAUUAAACAGGUGAUAGUAAUAACAACAGUAGGACAGCAUAAAUUGUAAAUUUUAUAAAAAGCACAAACUUAAAAUUGUAAAGUUUAAGGCCUGAAUCUUUUAUUUUAGACAGUAG